GAGGGUGAUCUUUCCACCCCUUUCUCCAGCAGCAAUCUGCUGGACAGAAGCUGGACAGAUGCUCCUGGGCAGAGGCCCACACAUCAGCUCCUCGGGUCUCUCCUCCUUGCUGGAUCCACACUCCUCUUCCCUUUACUGUGCAUGUGAAGUAACAGAGCAGGAAAACUAUUUGCAGAAGGAUAAAAAGACUUUAUCCCCAAACUCCCCUGACUCAGCUGUUGCUCCUUCUCUGUCUGCAUUCUGGCUGGUACCCGCAGCAAAAGAACAUGACGGUUUUUCAAGCAGUUUUUUAACAGAACAUACAUGUAUCUGACCAUACUCCUUCAGUAGCUCUAACAUGACAGGCAGCGGAGGAGGUAGGAAAGUGGGGCCCGAGCAGUGCUCUGGCUUGUGGGUGAAGCACAAGGUAAUGACAGCCCCCUGUCCUCCCAUGGGAUUUGGUAACCUAGGGACCAGACCAAGAGGGAGGCAUUGGUAGUGGGGAGAUUGCCGGUAGCUUUUGCUCUUUCUCGGAAGAUACAGUCUGUGGAGCAGGUUCUGACCUGGGACUGGGCGGCAUCUGGCAAAAGCCAAGGAUCUGGGAGGCACAACAAACUGGAUGACCAUGGAGCACUGCCGGGGCCAGGGAGCCUGGGGGCAGCAGGUCCUUGUGUGGAGCCAAGGACAGCCUACCCCAGCCAGGCCAGGUGCUCUGGGGGUCCGGCGAAGGUAAGGAAGUUACCACCUCCCUCCAAGCCCCAGUUUCUGCAAACACGGCGAAGGGCCAGGGCUGGUCACAGAGCUGCUGGGAGGACACCACGCACGCCAGGAGGUGCAGCCCGCUGUUUCAACAGUCUGACCACAGCUCCGGGCUCCUGCGAGGCCCCAGCGCCAGCAGCCUCUCUCAGAGGAAAACCAGACGCUAAACUCGGGGCCAACACCACCACUCUUCUCUACCCGACUGAAUGAAGGUCUGCAGGCAAAGGGGCCCGAGGACAACGGGGACCAGGCACGGCUCGACCGGUGAAACCUUAGUCGUGCCUUCGAAACUGCCCCUGGAAUCAGGGAUCUCAAAACCGGCAUAAUCUGAAACCAGCUUACCUGAAACCAGCUCCUGCAGCGUGGGGCGUCUCCCCUGUCUUCUCGGCUUCCCGCCGGGCUGGGCGCCUCGUGUCUGCAAUGAGCCUCAGGUACUGCGGCAGGUGCUGCAACGCCGCACGCGGCGGAAACGCCGAGUCUUCACCACGCGUGCACUGCCUCGUCCCGAGGUAAGAGAAAGGCGACCACGAGCGAAGGGCCGCUUGGCCUGAACUGCUCUACGGAGCCCAUCUUGGGAAAGCACGAGGCGGCCGGCGCCGCGAGAAUUAGUGCGGUCCGGCCUCCGACCCGGAUACUGCAGGUCAUAAGUACGGUGAGCACAGAAUCAGUCCUCUUCCCGAUCAGCCUGCUGGGCCCGGGAGCUCCCUUCCGCGCGCGGGCCCCCGUCCGACGCCGCCGGCAGCUCAGUGGCACCCGCCCAAGUCGCGGAACCUCGGGCAGACAGCACGGCGGGGCGACUUCCGGUCCCCGACUUCCGGUCCCCCCCACAACCUGCCAAGGCCGGAAGCUCAGGUUCCGCCCCCAGGCAGGCGGCGGCCUUGGCCUGGAAAUGUCUCUAUCGUUGAUUAAAUAGGUGAGAUUUAUCCAAAGGAAUUGGCGCCUGUGAUAGGAGGCUGAGGAGUGCCGUGAUCUGCAGAUCAUGUAGCCGAGGGAUGUGUCAGCAAGCCAGAGACCAGGAGAGCGGAUGGUGCGGCACCAGGAGCAAGGCCCUCAGGCCCCAGACGCAAGAAGAGGCCAGCUUCACCUGGGGCCCAGAUGGUCUCCAUUCAAAUUGAGAAAUUCUGUUUAUUAAAGCAUGCCAGGAGUGAGAAAAUAUAAGCUACAACUUGGAUGAAUGUUUGCUUCUAUAUAUGACAAACUAAGUCCCUACCAGAUAACCCCCUGCAAAAUGCAACUGAAAAUCUUGGACAUGAUCCACAAAGCAACCUCCUGGAGAGUGCGCAGCAGCAAAGAGACUGGUGAAGAAAGCGCACUUUCAAAGACCGGAGGCUGGGGGCUCUGAAGCUUCUUUCACUUGUAGCCUUGGGCCGAGUUCCCUGUCUGUGUCAUGCAGAACCCUCCCCCACACACACACACCCCAGUACUUCUACCCAUAUCUCUGACCGACCCCUGAAAGCACACGUGUAGGACAGACUAAAAACAUCUCAGCUAAAGAUGUGUGAUCUGGGCUAAGACCUGAGCCACUUCCUAAGGAGCAGAGUUCUCAGCUCAAACUCAGCCAAGAAGAUUGUCGACUAAGAGAUAGAAAACAAUAUUCAUCAGAGAAACGCUGCAGAAUUCCAGAUCUCCUCAAAGUACUAUUCUGCAUACUAGGAUAUAGUCGGCAGUUAAUAGGAAGGAGCGGGGGAAGAGAACACAUCCUCAGAAGGAAAGAAAAUCAGUCGAUUCGGAUCCUGAGAUGAACCAAAUGUUUCCCCGGAUAGGCAAAGAUUUUAAAGCAGCCAUUAUAUGUGUUUUUAAUAAAUAAAUCAAAACAUGUUUUCAAUGCACGAGAAAUGAUAAGUAUUAAUAGAGAAGUAAAAAUAAUAAAAUCUUAAUUUUCAGUUCAAAUGCCAAUUCUAGAACCCACAAAAUAGAAUUUCUGGAAUAAAAUAUCCACACACCAUAGAAUUUCUAAAAUUAAAAAACCGGUAACACUAAGUGCUGAUGACAUGCAACAGGAAAUCUCAUACAUCGCUGGUGGGGAUGUAAAGUGGCCUGAAAGUUUCUCAGAAGCUAAAAAUGUAUUUAACAAAUGACUCCGCAGUUCUACCCUUGGGCAUUUACCAAAAAGAAAUUAAAACAUGUCGACAAAGACUUGCACAGAGUAGCUUUACACCUAACAGCCUAAACUGAAGCCAAAGCAAAUGCUCACUAAUGGAACAAGUGGACGAAUUGUGAUCUCCUUACCCAGCAAUAAAAGCCAAGGUCUUACUUUUAUCAGUAACGUGUGUGUCAAAAACACAUUAAUGGGCGAAGGAAGACAGAUACAAAGGAAGCUACGUUAUGCUUGCGUUAGCAUCACCUUCUAAAACCGGCAGAGCGGUUUUGUGUUUGCUGAAUGCAAGCGGUGACUUGGUGGAUCUGGGACGGAGAAGGAAAUGAUGGCCUGAGGCACAGAGGCUCCGUGCACCAGGCAGGGUUCUGUGUCUUCACUGCCGCGAGGGCAAAGCACUUCAACAGGCAGUCAAGUUGGUUGGGGUUCGCGCCAGAAUGUACUCAACCUUUGAGGAUUUAUAGGAUAUUAACUCCAAAAAAUUGCUUACAUUAGCCCACGUUUCCUUUGCUUAAAUGAUGGAGACCCUUCAUUGUUCUUAAAACCUAUUACCAUCAAGGAACAUACUUUGUGAAAUUCUGCUCUGGGGGAUAGAAGGAUAACAAAACAAGGAAACUAAUGACAAGCCCCUCACAUCCUUGGAGGAGAUAUAGCCAGAAUAAAAACAUCUCUGUCACAAGAUGUUUAGUGCUAAGUGCUGUAGAAAGAUGAAAAAUGUGCCAGAAAUUUUAACCAUGUAUCUUCCAUGUUGCUUCUUCAAUGCAAUUCAGAGUCCUGAGAAUGAGACCUUCUGAGCUAAAAUUCCCCAUAUGUCUCUGUUUUUAAUAUAACCUUCAGGUGCUAGAAAUAGUAACACUUUCGUAAUAAAUUUAGAUAUGAAGAGAAUUCCCUUAAGAAACAAGGAGAAUUGUUCCGAUAUAUAAUUACACGGUCGUAGGAAUUUCAGAAGAACAUAAAAAUGUUGCUGAGUAGGUACAAAACUCUAUGGGUGUUUAGAGAUAAUGACACAUACCCAAUUUAUAUGGUUGUGUAUAACAGCAAGGGAACUCUUCAGUUCUAUUUCACUAAUACAAUGGAAGCUAAACGGUGAAGCAGGUUCACAUAUUUCCAUGUCCGGCGAUCUAAACAAAAUCUAAAGGAAGAUUGAUUUUUCCCUCCCUUUCUCAAUGUCCUUAACAGAAUUGAUUUAUUUGAGCAUCUAGCAUUUAAAUGAAUAGUUUCUAGCAAAGCUUAUUUCUACGGUAACCUUUUGGCAGCUCGUCAUUUAAAAUGCAUGGUAACCCUUGACCAAGAGAUUUUACAGCUCUUUGUCUUUCUUUGAACCUUACACACAUUGAACCCAAUUUGCUGAGUAGGUGUAUUUUUCCCCUGUUCGUAUCUUUUACACGUUUUGGAAGCUGCUUUACUUCUUAUGGUAUGCUGAAUACUACCUUGGUGGUAUUAAAAUAAUAGAGUUUCCCCAAACAA
rnacentral:lncRNA from 1 species